rnacentral:rRNA from 1 species
GACAACGCUGGCGGCGUGCCUAACACAUGCAAGUCGAGCGGAGAUAUAUGGAAGGUUUACCGGAAAUAUAUCUUAGCGGCGGACGGGUGAGUAACGCGUGGGCAACCCGCCUCAUACAGGGGGAUAACACAGGGAAACUUGUGCUAAUACCGCAUGAAAUCAUAGUAUGGCAUCAUACAAUGAUCAAAGGAGCAAUCCGGUAUGAGAUGGGCCCGCGUCCGAUUAGCUAGUUGGUGAGGUAACGGCUCACCAAGGCGACGAUCGGUAGCCGAACUGAGAGGUUGAUCGGCCACAUUGGGACUGAGACACGGCCCAGACUCCUACGGGAGGCAGCAGUGGGGAAUAUUGCGCAAUGGGGGAAACCCUGACGCAGCAACGCCGCGUGAAGGAAGAAGGCCUUCGGGUUGUAAACUUCUUUGAUAGGGGACGAUAAUGACGGUACCCUAAAAACAAGCCACGGCUAACUACGUG